UUCUUCGGGGUUGGGUGAAAUUCCCUACCGGCGGUAUAGUCCGCGACCCGUAUGUGCAGGAGACUGACAGGAUAGUCAGAGGCAGGCACAGCGGCUGAUUUGGUGCGAUUCCAAAACCGACAGUACAGUCUGGAUGAGAGAAGAA
rnacentral:ncRNA from 1 species